CAGUCGCCGCGGUAAUACGUAGGGUGCAAGCGUUAAUCGGAAUUACUGGGCGUAAAGCGUGCGUAGGCGGUUCGUUAAGUCUGUUGUGAAAGCCCCGGGCUCAACCUGGGAAUGGCAAUGGAUACUGGCGAGCUAGAGUGUGUCAGAGGAUGGUGGAAUUCCCGGUGUAGCGGUGAAAUGCGUAGAGAUCGGGAGGAACAUCAGUGGCGAAGGCGGCCAUCUGGGACAACACUGACGCUGAGGCACGAAAGCGUGGGGAGCAAACAGGAUUAGAUACCCCGGUAGUCCCUGUCUCUUAUAC
rnacentral:rRNA from 1 species